rnacentral:ncRNA from 1 species
GAGUAAUUUAGUUUUGGUUAUAGGAGGGUUGUGAGAGGGUGCCACAUAGUAGGGGUUUAUGGUGUUUCCUUGAUUACUAAUGUUAUGGGUUAGACUAGUGGUUAGAUUUUAUUUAUUGGGCGAGAGCUUGAGUGAGCCUUUUCAUGGAUUAGGUGGUUAAUUCGCAGUGCCAGCAGCUGCGGUUAUCCUGUUAGCCUUUCCUUUUUGUUGGUUUAAAUGGUUUGUGAGUGAUUGUGAAUUUGUGGGGGGUAGAAUCCUUAUUUUCUCUUUUUAUGCUCUCACAGGUUCUUUUGAAGGCUAUUAGAAGAAGAGGAUUAGAGACCCUAGUAUUGAGUCUGUGGCUAUUUUGUGACUCUAUAGUUUGAACUAAAAAAACUUGGCAGCCGAUGAUUUUCUUCCGGGGGAGCGUGUGGCGUAAGAGAUGAUCCACUUAUAUCUUUGCCGUUUCUAUAUGGGUUAGUGUACGUCCGGUUUAAUACCUCUGAUUAGUGUCUUUAGGCGUAUUUCAGCUGAUUUAGGCCAGGUCGAUGUGCUGCUAAUGAGGCGGUGUCUGUGCGCUACUUUAGUAAAAGGCAGUGAGGUGAAGACUUCUUGUGUAUUAAGGACUCGGGAGUAGGUGUGUUAUGUGGUGAUACAUCGAAUGGGUUGAUUUAGUCGGGGUACACACCGCCCGUCAACCAGGAUGAUUAAUUUUGGUAAGUCGUAACAUGGUAAUGUUGGGGGAACCGGGCGUUAGUUGGUGGGGAGUGUAUUUUCUUUAUCGUAAAGCUUA